GUGUGAAUAUCAUAUGCUCUGAUGACCCUGAGAACAUAAUUACAACCUGGCUUCAUGAAACUCUUUCUAGUAAAGGAAUAGACGUGUUGCACUUAAAAAUCUUGACUUCCUCAACACAUGCACGAAAACGAAGUGUGGAAACAAAGUCAUUUAAACUGGAUAGAAAGCAAUCCCUGCUUUUGGUAACAAGCCAUAGCUGUGUCUUUCAUGCCCAGGUAAAAACUUCCUCAAACAUCACAGAGACAAUAAACCUGAUUGACAGACUUCUGGAGAAACCAUACACCAGUGGAGCAGUAUUCUUAUAUGCCCAACCCGAGGACAUUUUCAUUUCUUAUAUUGAGCCAUGCCCUGAGCACAACCAUCA